rnacentral:lncRNA from 1 species
GCAUCUUGUGUCUUCUGGUAGAUGUGCUGUUUGAAGUAACUAUGGAAGUCAAACCCAAGGACUGGAUUCCUCAUGGUGGAAGUGAGCUCCAAAAGGGUCUUCUUGAAUCUGUGAAGAACCAUAUACAGAAGAACCUGAAACUUUCUGCCAACAGAGUCAAUGAAAUAAAGUUAUAUGAUGUCAAAAGCACAGGGGAUGCCAACCUGCUGCUCACCUUCUGGCUGCACCUGAAGCCGGAGGAGAGGAAUGUGUCUCUGCUCCUGCGCUCCCAGCUGGAG